rnacentral:rRNA from 1 species
UACGGAGGGGACUAGCGUUGUUCGGAAUUACUGGGCGUAAAGCGCACGUAGGCGGAUUUGUAAGUCAGGGGUGAAAUCCCGGGGCUCAACCUCGGAACUGCCUUUAAUACUGCAAAUCUCGAGUCCGGAAGAGGUGAGUGGAAUUCCUAGUGUAGAGGUGAAAUUCGUAGAUAUUAGGAAGAACACCAGUGGCGAAGGCGGCUCACUGGUCCGGUACUGACGCUGAGGUGCGAAAGCGUGGGGAGCAAACAGGG